rnacentral:sRNA from 1 species
UUUUCAGGUUCUCUUCCCUCCAUUCCUACCCCUUCCCCGGUACCAUAAAAUCCCGGGAUAUGAGCUGGAAGAGGCAUCACCUGAUCCCGGAGACCUUUGGAGUUAAGAGGCGGCGGAAGCGAGGGCCUGUGGAGUCGGAUCCUCUUCGGGGUGAGCCAGGGCCGGCGGGCGCCUGUCGUGGUGCGGCUUGGCCUCACCUACCAUGUGCACGACCUCAUUGGGGCCCAGCUAGUGGACUGCAUCUCUACCACUUCAGGAACCCUCCUCCGCCUGCCAGAGACAUGAAGAUUCUGCUCAUCAUUGCUCAGCUCCUCAGAGUGGGCCGGGAGGGGACUAGAAGAGCUGCAUGAUGGUGGCUGAGACAGGGUCACCUUGGGAAGGCUUGGGAGCCAGGAUGAGUGUCGGGCUCUCGUGUGUGCAAAAGGUCAGAUGUGACUGCUGCUGUUUGCCUGGUUUCUGACCCAGUGGUGGGGUUUGAGCAAUGCUUCUCUGCCCUUCCAUGGAAAGUGGAACCAGAAAUGGUGCCAAGGCUGUGGCUGUUCCCUUUCGUGUAAAAUGGUGCUGUUAUUACUCUGUCUUGAAAUAGGAAGGUGGGAUUUCUGGGGAGGCUGGUGAAGGAGGGCAGGGUUCUUUUCUCUACGUGUCAUGUUAAAAUUGCCAAAUAAAGUACCUCUGCCUGUGA